rnacentral:lncRNA from 1 species
GUAGGCCUCACCCCACACAUGACAGUUUACAGUAGGCCUCACCCCACACAUGACAGUUUACAGUAGAACUCAAACCACACAUAACAGCAGAGAAGAUGGAUAUGCUAAUAAUUCAUUAGCGGAAGAAAACUAAAACUAAAGUACUUUUUGGAGGCAGCUGUAAAUGCUACGUUUUGCACAGCUAGCCUUGGAAAGUGGCCUUUUCAGGAGUAUUUCAACAGUUCUUCAGUCUCAUCAGGAUGACCUAAUCAUUUUAUCCAUCCCACCUGUUUUGCAGAGAUGACUCUGCUAAACCUCUGCUGAGAUACUCCUGAGAAGGCCAACCUCUGACGGUGGUGUUACACCACGAUUCAAACCAUCAAAUAGUUCAUUAGCAUCGUUAAUGAAAGGUUGUGGAAGUAACAACUCACCUUAAGCUUUGACUGAGUGCCGAGCGGAUGUUUUCGCUACAGCGCUUUGUUGUUGGUUCAUUACCUCGACUGCGCCUACUAGAGAUGCACUUGUCUUCACCUUUCCUCCGUACUAGUAGGUGCAGAACACAGAAUUUAAGGGAAUUCUUUAAUCCAUUUUUAAGUCAGUUUGCUUUUUAGUGAGAAACUGGGUACUGUCUGCUGAAGACAAGAUUCACAUGUAGUUUUACAUAUUUUUUUAGCUUAAUGUAAGUCUUGCAUUCCAAGCUCUUUGUGUAUCUUGUUUAGCGACAUUGACAUUUAUGUUUAGUACUUUAUUACAGCCACCUCUGGGGGAAAAAGGUGAACACAAACAUGUAAUAUCUGCAUUCAUCCUUACACUGUUUUCUAUAGCAUGGAGUUUAUCAACUACAGGGAGAAUUGUAGAAAAAUAUGCUUCAGAGAAAAACAGCUUUUUUGUUACAUAUCUCACAUGCAAUCAGUUGCUGCAAAGUGACAGAUUUGUAUAUCGGUCGAUCCAAAGAGAUGACAUAACAACAAACCUAUUUACUUAUUGUACAGGACAUUGUAUCUUUGAACUGUCAUGUGUUAUGUUGAAAUGAUUAAAAUACAAACCCACGGUUUCAUACUUUGGUUGUAAGUUUUACUCCUUUGUCUUUUGAAAGGAGGAUGGUUAGAACACAGAAAAUUGGAAAUGGACUAAACAGAGUCAUGCUGAAAAAGGCAGUGUACAUUCCUAGAGAGCCCUACACCACAUGAUUUGACACGCUGGACGUCGCUAAGGGUCUUGUUGCUAGAGCUGAGCUAAGCCAUUGGACAGCCGUAAUUACAGUAUGAUGUCAUACAGUAUGAUGCAGCUAACCUAUAACUACAUAGACAGCAACACUCACAAAUACACUUCCAGGAUACAGACUGUGCUAUAACUCAAAAAAUAGAAACUCAAAUAUGCUUUUUAAGAUUUUUGCUGGGCAGCCACAAGGUUGUUAAAUGUGUAUGAGGGUAGCGUACUAUGAUCCCACAAUGUGUAAUCUGAUCUCUACCCCUCAAGACCCACAACAUACAGAUGAGGACAAUGUGUAAUCUGAUC